AACUUCCCCUGUGGAUCGGGGAUAGAAUAUAUCCACAGUAUCCCCUGCUUGUCGUAAAAAGCGACUAAUAGGGGUUGAGUGUUGGACUGACAACCCAAUCUCGCAAAAACCCACUUGUUAAACCCACUGGAAACUUCAAGAAGAAAAGCCGGAUUGAAUGAUUGGUGCAAACUCCUGAAGAAGGCUGAAGCCCACUAUGGGAUGUAGUAGCAAUGGAUGGAUGGAUAGAACUAAUACACACGCGCAAAAGGGGAUAGGCAAUUUCCUUAAACGAAGGAAGUGAACGAUAGCCUAACCUUCUCGUCAUCAAGGGUCACAACCUGAAUGGAACGUUACGAGCUUUGAAACAUGUGAUCACACGAUGGACACGUGCAAGCUCUUUGAUUUCUUCAAAUACGAUCGAUUUCUCUUUAAUGCACGCACACACGCGUCACACAAGCACACAGUGCGCGCACGAAUCAUGCAAUAUUUGAUUGUCGAAUUUUCUCGAAUCUAAUUGUAAGAUUCCUUUGUUUUAAUUGAAUCAUUUUGUUCAAUUAUUUUUACUAUUAAUUCCGAUAAAAAAGUAAGUUAAAUUUUUAUUAAAUUACUAAAAUACACUAGUAGUAGUAAUAAUAAUAUAAUAAUAGUAAUAAGAUUUAUUUGAAAUUAUUGUAAUUUCGAUUAAGACAAAAAAUAUUAAAUACGUUCUAUAAUCUCGUUAGGGAAACCCAAGUUAUUAGAAAAGUCAUUAAGUAUGAACCUUAACCUAUCGAUUUUCUCUCCUUUCGAAUUACCUUUUACGGAAGUUAGUUAAAGUAGGCGAGAAAAAAAAAGAAGCAUUCAAUGUUAAGGAUCGUUGUUGGACUUUGAUAGAAUUACUAAUAAAUUUUCAAUCGGCCGAGAGAGGAAAGUUCUUCUCGUGUCAUGAGUAAUAAAAGGAAUUUUUUUAAAGGUCAAGCUUCGGCCUCUAAAGGGGAAUAAUUAUAGGUUAGAAUGUAUCUCACGAGAAUUGAACCCAUACUAUUUCCGAGUGAUCAUCCAAUUGGUGAAUUUUGACAGAAUUGAUAAAUUCUUUUAUUCCUUAGAAUUUUUUCAAUAAUUAAUUCGUCAUUCGUGGAUUAAUAUUGAUGUGCGUCGCUUAAUAUUAUUUGUAAACAAAUGAGAGCAGUCCAAUGACACUAGCGAGUCACGUGGUAAUAGUAUGUCUCUAUCCUUGUCUGCUGUCUGUUUCUUUUUCUUUCUUUCUUUCUUUCUUUCUUUCUUUCUUUCUUUCUUUCUCUGUCUCUCUGUGUAUAUCUAUCUUACACAUACACAUACAGUUUUAUUCGUCUCCUCCGUAUAUCAACCGAGUCUCUUAUCGGUAUUCAUUAGUCCAAUAAACUUUAAUCAAGUUGCUCGGCUACGAGAAGAGGAAAAAGGUUUCAAGGUCUUGGCUUGUUGGCGCUUGGCUGAUCGUACGACGACUUUGCUAACUACGCGACAGAAAUAUUCUGACGUAACAACGAUCCAUGACUUUGCUCAAAGGAUGUUCCUAAUGAUUCUCCAUUUAACCGCACAAAUAAAAAUGCUUCUUGUAUUUUUGUCUUUUUUUUUCUUAUUUCUUUUUUCUUAUUAAAUUUGGGGAUUCCAAAAGUAUAUUUCUAAGAAUUGAAUGAGGAAAAACGUCGAUUGAUAAACAGAAUCUAUCACGUGAUCGUUAAACUAAUCUGUGCAGAUUACUUAAAACUAAAUGGAAUUUUAUCAUAUCAUACAUAUGUAUGAUACAUAUAUUGAUUAUCCAUGUUCAAGCAAAUUACAGGAAAAUUUGUUAAGAAAAUAAUCAAGAAAGGGAAAGUUCCAUUUCUAAGUUAAGAGUGAAUAAGAAAGGAAGAGAGAGAGAGAGAGGGGAGGGAGGGAGAAAAGGGCCUUCGAGAAAAGCCGAUGGUAAGGUUCUUGCCCGAGCCUUGGAAUGUUGCUUGGCGAGGAGUUCGCUGGAAAAGGAGAGGAGAGGAGAGAAGGAGUUUCGGAGGGAGGGGAAAGGAUGGAAGGAAGGAAGGAAGGAAGGAAGGAAGGGGGAUGAGCUCUCACAAAAAACAUCAUCCCUUCUUCGAAUUCUCUUUAACCCAGAGUGGAAAUUGUUGCAGUUUAAAUACUGCAACUGACGAUUCGAUAGAUAUUAGAUUAUUAAGUUCGAGUUUCUUUUUAUCAUUAUUCGAAUAUGAAGAAAGGCGUACUUUAUCAAGAUUGAAUAUUUUAACAGGUAUAACUCGUAUCUUUGUCUAUAUAUCUAUACACUUGUACGCAUACAUAUAUAUUCAUGUAUAUCAAUUUGAAAUUAAACGUGUAAACGUUUAUAUACGUAUAAGUUACAUAAGUGUGGAAUUUUAGAUGCAAAUUUAAUCCGUUAAUCUGGACUUGGAUAAAAAUGUAGGUGUAUUUUGCGUAGGUUAAGUACAGGAAGUACGUACAUAACCUCAAAAGAAAAUAAUUACACUAAGAGAAGGGGAAUCCUGUUACUCGAAAGAUUUUAUCAUUUCGAUUCCUCCAAAGAUCGCGUCUUUCUCCAGUCGAUUAAUAUUACAAGCUCGAUCCGUUUUCUUUUAAAGGAGACUAGAUUGAACUGGUUUCAUUUAAAAAGAUCGCGUCAAGAGAGUAGAGAAUAUCUUUGUAAUUGCUAGACGUUAGUCCAGUUAGAUAAAAAUCAUAGCGUGAAUUCAGGAGCGAUACAUUUUUCAAAGACAAUCAUUGAUCGUCUCUCUUUUGUUAUUUAUUUAUGUUCGAUUUCUUUUAUGAACGAUAAUAAUCUUUAAUGCGAUUAGAAAUAAUUGAAGGGAAACGGCAUAUUACCGAUUGAGCCUGGGAUUUAACUAAUGAGCAAUCUCUUUUACAAAAGAAAAGAAGAGAAAAGAAAAGAUAAGAUGAUAUUCUCACGUGAUUAAACAUCUUUUUCACGUAAAUACGAGUAUUUGUCUUAUCUUGACGCAGGUGAUCACGAGUGCAGCAGUAUCGUCUAUGCAUGAUUGAAUAUAUAUAUAUGACACUUAGUGUUAAAAGAUGCACGUACUUGUGCAAAGAAAAUCGUUUAUAUCAAGUUCUCCUUCUCAUUUUUAUUAAAAAAAAAAGAAAAAAAAAAGAAAAAAAAAGAAAAAAAAAGAAACUAUCAAAAUGUUAAUUUUGAUUAUAAAAUUUGAUGUAUAAAAUCAAAUCAUCGACAAAAUGACCUAAUACGAUCUAUUCUAAAUAAUAAAUCGUAAUGGAUGAUUUGAAUUUCUUCGAAUCGAAAGGACGUGAGCUUUUUACGUUUAGUCGUCUCAUUGAAAACUACAUGAAUGUAAGCUGUAAUAAACGGCAUUCGUCAGCAUAGCAAAACCACCUACGAUCUUUAAGCAUUCGAUUCACAACUCGUGACUCUACGCCGUUUCUAGCAAGAAAAUGUCAUGCAAGUUCCUCAAUGAAUAGAAAUCCUCGAUCAAGAGAAAAUAUCUUGACAAACAGAUCUUUUAUAUAUUUUUUUUAGAUAUUUUUAGAUAUGCCUAUAUGUGUACGUAUAACGUAGUCGUUUCUUAGAAAAAAGAAACAAGAUCUCUCUAACCGAAAAAGAUGAUUUCUUUUCGGUUUCAUUUUCAUAAGAAUACAUAGCACGUUUGUGCUGAUCGUAAAUAUGAGAUUUCUCCUUCUCGUGUUUUCAGUUAAGAUCUUUUUUACCGAUCAUGUUUAAUAUAAUAUCGUUCAAUAACUAUGCUAAAUUUACAUUGAAAGAAAACAAAAUUUCAUAGGAAAAAAAGAGAAACUCAUUUUAUCAUAAUAUAACUAACAAUUUUUAUUAAAACUUUGGUACAACGAGAGAUGAUCAUUAAUACGCUGGAUAAGUACGUAUAUCGCAUUAAAAUGUGAAAGCGAUUAAAAAUCAAUGAAAAAAAAUGUUUAAGCGAUCAUGAGAAUGGUAUGAUUUCACAUUAUUAAUGCAUAUAUGUCAUCGGUAUAUGCUAAGAAGAUGAAACCUUUGACCAAUCAACACAGCAGGCAGUACGUCGAAUGAUAUAAAACAACUAUUACGAAUUUAAAUUCUCUUCGUUCUUUUUUACGUUUCGUUAUAAUCCAAUUAAUUUCUCAACAGAUCCAGUUUAUUCUGCUGCUGUGAUAAUGAUGAUGAUAAUGAUGAUGUUGGUUCUGGUGGUGGUGGUAGUGGUAGUGGUGGUAUAUAUUCGAGUAAGAAACACAAGGGCGAUGAAAUGUAUUUUGUAAAGUAAAUGCAAUCGAAACAAUGUGUUUCUCUUCGUCAACGUACUACACGUUGAGUACACGAGUUUAAAAAAUAAAAAAAAAGGUAAGAGUGAGGGGCGUGUCGGAGCGAAGUGACGGUACUGACGACGAGGAUAGUGGCGCGGGGUAGGGGUGGGGGGGGGCAGCUCCCUCCACUCCCCAUCCCUCUCUGUGGCGCACGUCGGCCCACUUGGGCGGCAGCCUUCUUUCCGUUUGACUGUCUCACUCCACCGCCUACCUCGUUCACUACGCUCUCUCACUCUACCUACGCUUUCCACUCUCUUCCUACGUUCACUCAUGUACACACCGCAGGUUAUAAAAGUACCCCGCGCAAUCGUCAGACUCUUAGUCAACUCACGAACGUUUACGAGUGCGUAUAUGGCUCUCUCCUCUUUCUAUUGUUACGUUCGUUCAAUUUGAAUUUCGAAGAAAAUUUCAACCGUAAAUUUCUUUGCGUGUAUACGUCUCUUAAAAUUACCCGAACUUGGACGCAGUUGCAGCCUUGCUUCCUUCUCGGGAAUAUUUAUAUUGGAAUUAAGUUUUCCAUCCUCGUUAUUCCCUUCUUCAGUUUUUCUAAGGAUUACUUCUAAUAU